GUGGGGAAUCUUGCGCAAUGGGCGAAAGCCUGACGCAGCCAUGCCGCGUGAAUGAUGAAGGUCUUAGGAUUGUAAAAUUCUUUCACCGGGGACGAUAAUGACGGUACCCGGAGAAGAAGCCCCGGCUAACUUCGUGCCAGCAGCCGCGGUAAUACGAAGGGGGCUAGCGUUGCUCGGAAUUACUGGGCGUAAAGGGCGCGUAGGCGGACAGUUUAGUCAGAGGUGAAAGCCCAGGGCUCAACCUUGGAAUUGCCUUUGAUACUGGCUGUCUUGAGUACGGGAGAGGUGAGUGGAACUCCGAGUGUAGAGGUGAAAUUCGUAGAUAUUCGGAAGAACACCAGUGGCGAAGGCGACAUACUGGUCCAUUACUGACGCUGAGGCUCGAAAGCGUGGGGAGCAAACAGGAUUAGAAACCCCGGUAGUCC
rnacentral:rRNA from 1 species